GACGAACGCUGGCGGCGUGCUUAACACAUGCAAGUCGAACGGAAAGGCCUCUUUCGGGGGGUACUCGAGUGGCGAACGGGUGAGUAAAACGUGAGUAACAUGCCCCUGACUUUGGGAUAACUUCACGAAAAUGGGGCUAAUACCGGAUAGGAGCUCCUGCUGCAUGGUGGGGGUUGGAGAGUUUGGGCGGUGGUGGGUGGCGUCGGGGCUUAUCAGCUUGUUGGUGGGGGGGUGGUGCACCAGGGCUUUGACGGGGGGCGGGCCUGAGGGGGUGACGGGCACAAUGGGACUUGAGAAAGGGCCAAGCUCCUUCCGGGGGCCACAGGGGGGAAUAUUUGAAAAUGGGUGGAAGCCUGAUGCAGCAACGCCGUGGUCGGGAUGACGGCCUUCGGGUUGUAAACCGCUUUCGCUCAGGACGAAGGUGUGUGUGACGGUAGUGGGUAAAGAAGCACCGGCUAACUACGUG
rnacentral:rRNA from 1 species